rnacentral:rRNA from 1 species
GACGAACGCUGGCGGCGUGCUUAACACAUGCAAGUCGAACGGAAAGGCCCUGCUUUUGUGGGGUGCUCGAGUGGCGAACGGGUGAGUAACACGUGAGUAACCUGCCCUUGACUUUGGGAUAACUUCAGGAAACUGGGGCUAAUACCGGAUAGGAGCUCCUGCUGCAUGGUGGGGGUUGGAAAGUUUCGGCGGUUGGGGAUGGACUCGCGGCUUAUCAGCUUGUUGGUGGGGUAGUGGCUUACCAAGGCUUUGACGGGUAGCCGGCCUGAGAGGGUGACCGGCCACAUUGGGACUGAGAUACGGCACAGACUGCUACGGGAGGCAGCAGUGGGGAAUAUUGCACAAUGGGCGGAAGCCUGAUGCAGCAACGCCGCGUGCGGGAUGACGGCCUUCGGGUUGUAAAACGCUUUCGCCUGUGACGAAGCGUGAGUGACGGUAAUGGGUAAAGAAGCAACGGCUAACUACGUG